rnacentral:rRNA from 1 species
UACGUAGGGUGCGAGCGUUGUCCGGAAUUAUUGGGCGUAAAGGGCUCGUAGGCGGUUUGUCGCGUCGGGAGUGAAAACCCAGGGCUUAACCCUGGGCUGGCUUCCGAUACGGGCAGACUAGAGGUAUGCAGGGGAGAACGGAAUUCCUGGUGUAGCGGUGAAAUGCGCAGAUAUCAGGAGGAACACCGGUGGCGAAGGCGGUUCUCUGGGCAUUACCUGACGCCGAGGAGCGAAAGUGUGGGGAGCGAACAGG